rnacentral:rRNA from 1 species
CAUUUUGGCCAAUGGGGGAAACCCUGAUCCAGCCAUGCCGCGUGUACGAUGAAGGCCUUCGGGUUGUAAAGCACUUUUGUCAGCGAAGAACAGGUACCUCCUACUACGAGUACAGCUGCCGCUAUCUGCAGGAUAAGCACCGUCUAACUACGUUCGAGCAGCCGCGGUAAUACGUAGGGUGCAAGCGUUAAUCGGAAUUACUGGGCGUAAAGCGUGUGUAGGCGGUUCGGAAAGAAAGAUGUGAAAUCCCAGGGCUCAACCUUGGAACUGCAUUUUUAACUGCCGGGCUAGAGUAUGUCAGAGGGGGGUAGAAUUCCACGUGUAGCAGUGAAAUGCGUAGAUAUGUGGAGGAAUACCGAUGGCGAAGGCAGCCCCCUGGGAUAAUACUGACGCUCAGACACGAAAGCGUGGGGAGCAAACAG